CCAUGCCAUUCCCUCGGGCCCUGUCGCUGUCACAGAGAGCAGAGCUCAGUGCUGCCCUCUGCUCCCUAUGAGGAGCUGCGGCUGCCAUGAGGCCUCCCCUCAGCUCCUCUGCUGUGGGCUAAGCAAACGCAGGGACCUCAGCUACUCCUCAUAUGUCUUGUGUUCCACACUCUCCACCAUCUUUGUAGCCCUCCUUUGUAUGCUCUCAAAUAGUUUCAUGUCCUCCUUACAUUGUGGCACCCAAACAUGCUCCCAGCGCUGGAAGGGAGGCUGCACCAGGGCAGAGCAGAGCAGAGUGGGACAAUCUCUUCCCUUGGAACGAAGCACUGCUCCAGAAGUUCUGGCAUCCAACCUGGCUGUAGAACUGUGUCUACGAAGGAGCGCUCCAGUGCCUUAGCAUCCUAAAGCUGACACCAAUCCUGGGGAGUCUCAGGCUUAUAGAAGACAGAACCAUAGCAACUGGUAAUGCAGAAGAUAAUAGACAAGCUUUUCAGAGUUGGUCUGCAAGGGAAAAAGAUGCAAGGCCUCUCCUCACAUCUCUCUCAUCUCUCACAUCUCUUAUUUACACUUUAUGCUGAACAACAUCUAAGGUUUUCAGUAUUUCCUUUUGUCAUUGUAAUGCUUGAAUCUGUAACAUUUUUAAGCUAAUGAAAUACCUGUAUGACAUUACUACAUUUUUUUUUUUUUUUUUUUUUUUUUUUAAUAUUAAAGCUGUGAAUUGACUUCUGUAGUAUCACUCUCAUCCCUGUGACACCUGAAAUUUGAGUACAAUAGAUGCAAGGAGAUGGAAAAGCAAACAUCUUAAUUACGUUAUUCUGGAAAGCACCCCAAAACAACUGCAUGUAAAUUCCAUAUAUGUUUUUGUCAUGAUAGGUAUUGCAGAAGCCUAUGUUGAUGCAGUAACAUUACUGAACACAAAAUAUUCCUAGAAAAGUAAAAACCGUUUAAGACUGAUAUGCAACACACUCCCACAUGGCCUUUUAAAUUAUGCUAUUACAAAUCAGAAGUUAGAACUGGCUCAAGUAAGUAAUAAAAAGGUUCCAGGAGAAAGAGACA
rnacentral:lncRNA from 1 species